CUGUCAUGACUGUUUUUAGCAUUUUCAUUUUCUAAUUUUCCUAUGGUUGAAUAAUGCAACUAAGCAAUUUCUACGUUAUGGAAGCUGAAGUUUUGAUCAAGUUGUCAAACUUGCUAGAAUACUUGGUUUCUUAGAGGAAUGCCAAGAAGACAGGAAGAUGUAUUCAUUUUAGAAGAUUGUAAUGUGUUUCAUUGAGAAGCUUGAAACACAUUGUAAAAACCCAUUUUGUGGAAUAGUGAAAAGGAAAAAAGAAAAUUGGUUGGUAAUUAUGACUAAUUUGCUUGAUGCAAUUAGGUGGUUUAACAAUGGAUCCUAUGCUUGGAGAUUAACCAGUCUGUUUGACGAGAGGUUUGAUAUUCAUGCUAGAGUUUGGGUUAGAAUGUUGUCGGAUAUAUAAUUAAAGGCUAUCAUUGGGUUAGAAUGUUGUCGGAUAGACAACACUAAACAGCAAUUUAAUGCCUUGUAGCCAUGUCAGGGCUGUCCCAUGUGACGAUUUAUCCCAUGAGACCGCAGGUACUACAGGCUAUAUCAAAGGCUCUCGAUGAUCCAAAGAGGCCCGUUCACCAGGAAGUUGCUAGAUGCCAUCAAGCAUGGUUUGAUUUCAUUUAUAAGCACAUCAAUCAUCUAAUAUUUCUUUCUUCAAGUCAGUGGGUAUGACACUUUAUGAUCUUUCACAACAAGGCAUCAACUGCAUUAAGAAGCCUUCAUUUUUAAGGGGCACAACGUCGUUACUUGUUUGUUUAAGAAAAAAAAGGCCAGUUCUACUGGAAGAAAUAUAGAAGACUAACCCAUAUGUGCCUUUGUCAAACUACAAAUGAGUGGAAAAGAAGCUGUAAAUCUAUGGAUAAUGGGAUGGGUGUUUGGAUGAGAUGAUUGGCAUUUUGUUUCUAGAUCUCUUGAAGAUUCAAAAAGGCUGCAAAUUUUAACGUUUUCAUUAGAGCUGUUGGAGGUGAGUCAUGACUCGACUCAGGGCGAACGAGUUGAUCCUAGCCAGAUCUUCUAACAAUGUUUCGGGCAUUCCACGUCAGAGCUUUUCUAAGCUGACAUGCAUGUGCAAGUCAGCUAGUGCAUGCACCUCCAUAUAUGCUAGCUUGGCACACAGGUAAAAUAUCCAAGCCCCACUCAUCAUGUGGAUCUCACUACAUAGAUGCUACUGGUGAAAGAUAAAGGCGGUUUGCUCAGUAGUUGUGCCAUGAUAUUAGAAAUAAGUGGAUGUGUUAAAAAACUUCAGAUAUGUCUUUUAUAGCUAUAGAUUCGCUCAGUUGAUUGUGGCCCGACUAGAGGAUUGACCUGAUUCUUGGGAUACGGAAUCUAUAGUUUACCCUUCUGAUGGAUGGCUUGGAUAUUACACCUAUCUGCCAUG